rnacentral:rRNA from 1 species
GACGAACCGUGCGAACGUUGUUCGGAAUCACUGGGCUUAAAGGGCGCGUAGACGGGCGAGCGAGUCGAAGGUGAAAUCCCACGGCUCAACCGUGGAACGGCUGGGCAUACUGGCGGUCUUGAGCGGUCCAGGGGCGAGCGGAACAAGCGGUGGAGCGGUGAAAUGCGUAGAUAUCGCUUGGAACGCCGACGGUGAAAACAGCUCGCUGGGGACCCGCUGACGCUGAGACACGAAAGCCAGGGGAGCGAACGGG